rnacentral:rRNA from 1 species
UACGGGGGGGGCAAGCGUUGUUCGGAAUUACUGGGCGUAAAGGGCUCGUAGGCGGCCAACUAAGUCAGACGUGAAAUCCCCAGGCUCAACCUGGGAACUGCGUCUGAUACUGGUUGGCUUGAAUCCGGGAGAGGGAUGCAGAAUUCCAGGUGUAGCGGUGAAAUGCGCAGAUAUCAGGAGGAACACCAAUGGCGAAGGCAGCUCGCUGGGACGUGACUGACGCUGGAGGCACGAAAGUGUGGGGAUCAAACAGG